UACGAAGGGGGGCUAGCGUUGCUCGGAAUCACUGGGCGUAAAGGGCGCGUAGGCGGUUAUUCAAGUCACAUGUGAAAUACCAGGGCUCAACCUUGGGGGGUCAUGUGAAACUGGAUGACUUGAGUGCAGUAGAGGAAAGCGGAAUUCCUGGUGUAGCGGUAAAAUGCGUAGAGAUCAGGAGGAACACCGGUGGCGAAGGCGGGUCUCUGGGCCGAUACUGACGCUGAGGAGCGAAAGCGUGGGGAGCGAACAGG
rnacentral:rRNA from 1 species